UACGUAGGGGGCAAGCGUUGUCCGGAAUCAUUGGGCGUAAAGAGCGUGUAGGCGGCCUGGUAAGUCCGCUGUGAAAGUCCAGGGCUCAACCCUGGAAUGCCGGUGGAAACUGUCAGGCUCGAGUCCGGAAGAGGCGAGUGGAAUUCCCGGUGUAGUGGUGAAAUGCGUAGAUAUCGGGAGGAACACCAGUGGCGAAGGCGACUUCCUGGCCUGUUCUUGACGCUGAGGCGCGAAAGCUAGGGGAGCAAACGGG
rnacentral:rRNA from 1 species